CUCAUUCGGAUUGGAGUCUGCAACCCGACUCCAUGAAGCUGGAUUCGCUAGUAAUCGCGCAUCAGCCACGGCGCGGUGAAUACGUUCCCGGGCCUUGUACACACCGCCCGUCAAGCCAUGGAAGCCGGGGGUGCCUGAAGUGCGCUGCCGCAAGGAGCGUCCUAGGGUAAAACCGGUGACUGGGGCUAAGUCGUAACAAGGUAUC
rnacentral:rRNA from 1 species